rnacentral:rRNA from 1 species
CACGUAGGGUGCGAGCGUUGUCCGGAAUUAUUGGGCGUAAAGAGCUCGUAGGCGGUGUGUCGCGUCGGCCGUGAAAACCUGCAGCUUAACUGUGGGCGUGCGGUCGAUACGGGCAUCACUGGAGUUCGGCAGGGGAGACUGGAAUUCCUGGUGUAGCGGUGAAACGCGCAGAUAUCAGGAGGAACACCGGUGGCGAAGGCGGGUCUCUGGGCCGAUACUGACGCUGAGGAGCGAAAGCGUGGGGAGCGAACAGG